rnacentral:rRNA from 1 species
CACGUAGGAGGCGAGCGUUGUCCGGAAUCAUUGGGCGUAAAGAGCGCGCAGGCGGCUUGGCAAGUCGGGUGUGAAAUCCCGGGGCUCAACCCCGGGACUGCAUUCGAUACUGCCAGGCUAGAGGUAGGUAGGGGAGAUCGGAAUUCCUGGUGUAGCGGUGAAAUGCGCAGAUAUCAGGAGGAACACCGGUGGCGAAGGCGGAUCUCUGGGCCUUACCUGACGCUCAGGCGCGAAAGCUAGGGGAGCGAACAGG